ACCGCCACGGAUGGCGGUGGUUCACGUCAGUAGCGUGUUUGUUCUGCAAACACGUAGGUAAAAAAUGUACAAGGAGGUACAUUUUUUACCGUGC
rnacentral:sRNA from 1 species